UUCCAUUUGUAAUAGAUGCUUCUGAGGAUGCAAAGAAAUUGGAAAUGACUACUUUCCUAAGUUGGUUCCAGCAAAGUCUGCAACAAACAUUUGUUGAAAUGCAGACUGGAGCUGUUCAGUCUGCUCAGGCCUCUGCUUCCCAGGAUUCUCCAGUAAUAAAUACGGCUAAGAAAAGGCCUAGAUCCUGGGAAUUUUCUGACGUAAACUGUUUGUCAGAAUCAAG